UACGUAGGUGGCGAGCGUUAUCCGGAUUUACUGGGUGUAAAGGGAGCGUAGACGGCAUGGCAAGUCAGAUGUGAAAGCCCGGGGCUCAACCCCGGGACUGCAUUUGAAACUGUCAGGCUGGAGUGCAGGAGAGGUAAGCGGAAUUCCUAGUGUAGCGGUGAAAUGCGUAGAUAUUAGGAGGAACACCAGUGGCGAAGGCGGCUUACUGGACUGUAACUGACGUUGAGGCUCGAAAGCGUGGGGAGCAAACAGG
rnacentral:rRNA from 1 species